GAUGAAGAAACGCAGCGAAAUGCGAUACGUAAUGUGAAUUGCAGAAUUCAGUGAAUCAUCGAAUCUUUGAACGCAUAUUGCGCUCUUUGGUAUUCCGAAGAGCAUGCUUGUUUGAGUAUCAGUAAACACCUCAAAGCUUUUGGAUUUUUUAAUCGAAAAGCUUUGGACUUGAGCAAUCCCAACACCAAUCUUUUUGAGAUCGGUGGCGGGUUGCUUGAAAUGCAGGUGCAGCUGGACAUUCUCCUGAGCUAAAAGCAUAUUCAUUUAGUCCCGUCAAACGGAUUAUUACUUUUGCUGCAGCUAACAUAAAGGGAGUUUGACCGUAUUGGCUGACUGAUGCAGGAUUUCACAAGGGUCGGCAACGAUUCUUGUUAAACUCGAUCUCAAAUCAAGUAAGACUACCCGCUGAACUUAAGCAUAUCAAUAAGCGGAGGA
rnacentral:misc_RNA from 1 species